ensembl:lncRNA
CAGACUCAGCCUGUGCCCCUAGCUUCCUGACAGACACAGUCUGCUCCUCCGGGGCUGGGAGGGGCUCAGUGACAGGUGUCCUUCUUUCUGGGAAAUGAUUAGCACCCCAGGGAAGCACUGUGCUGGCUCUGAGCAUCUCAUUAACAGCAUGACUGUGCGCUUCCGGUGCUGAGCUGGGCCCUGCGGUGGCUGCGGAUGGGCAGGGCAUUGAGGGCCACAGCUCCUGGCCACCGCGCCUCCCGGAUGUGCAAAUGCCUGCAUCCAGGUGGCUCCCAGAAACCCGGCCUCCUAACCAAAAGAAAAUUUCCUGGGCAGAGACCGGAUCCUUCCUACUAGAAAAAUGGUUUCCCCUUGCUCUGUGCCUCUGAUACAGACACACACACACUCUGCCGGCAGCUCCUCCGUCCUGGCUCGGAGGCGCCCGCCUCUCUUCACUCCCAUCCUGAGGCCUGUCACUGGCAAACCGGCGGGGCGCGUGGCUGUCUGGGGCGAUCACGUCAGCUCUCCUCUCCGCGUUUAACACCAUGGGAGACCAUAUUUUAGUGCAGCGUUCAGGGGAUUCAACUCUUCCAGCCUCCAACUCUGAGUACAGGAAGCAGGUCCCUUUCAUCCGCCGCUGCGGCCUAAGUGCCUCGCACAGCCCCGGCGCUCGCAGGCCGGGUGGCGGGGGAGCGCGGGCCUGGGCGCCUGGGGAGCGGCCGAGCCCCGGAGGUGCGGCCUGCGCCCCGCCUUCGCCGGCGGAGCGAGGACCCCGCGAAAACGACCGGGGGCUGCGGCGGGCGCGGCCGGGCUGCAGGCGAGGCGCUCCAGGCCGGCCUAGGCGACCUAGGGCCGCAGAGCACGACGCCGCUGCUCCACGACGAUCUCGAAAUGAGCACACCACCCAGCGAUGGAGCCAUUUGCACAACGCGCAGGCCCUGAGCGGAUCCUGUGAUUACCACCAGCAGUGCUGACAUGAAGUACUCAGCUAUGCUCUUCUAGCCUAAAUGCUGUGCUCAAACUGGAAGAAUCAGCCUCCCGGGCGAGGUAUCACCCUGUCCUACUUUGAAAAGGACACAGUGCAGGGAUGAAGAACAGAGGCUUUUGCUGCUGAGAGAUCAUAUUUUAAACAAGACGUAAGUGGAGUCUUCAUAACCAGUCUGAUAAAUUCUCUUAGGGUAGUCAUGGGUCUGCCUCUCUGGCCACUGCCAUGUUAUGUAUCCUGAGCCGCAGUGGCUCACAGCUGUGCAGAAGGUAUCUGCUCUAUUGAGUCCAAUAGUUUCAAGCUGCUGAUUCUCAGAGCAGUAAUCCAUCCCAGCAUUGGUCCGAAGAACCCUGUGGACUGAGAAUUCACUAACCUUCACAGACUGGCUCAGCACUAGCACCUCUACUUCUCUACAGGUGAUCUCUAAUAGCCUUGCAAGCAGUGGUCCAGACAUCAAGAACUAAAAAAACACCUUUAAAAGCCAAUGCUUACUACAAACUCUAAAAGAUUUUUCUCUCCUGCUAAACAAGCUGGCCCCUUAGAGAGAAGUUACUUCUUUUAACUAAAUAUGUGUCCUUGACGUAAUAAGAAUGAGGACUUUUCCUCAGUAUAACUGAAAUAGAAAAGUCAAUAGCAGGAAAAGAAAGACUGUAAGAAUAUAAGGAAGACCCUCAUGGAAGAUGAGAGAAUGGAAGCCAACAAAUCAACAAAUCAGAAAUCUUUACAAGGAUACCAAAGCUAGUAAACACUGAUUCUGUUUAUUCCAGGCAUACAAAAGAAAUGGAAGAUUCAUCCUUUUCAGGUUGGUUGGAGCCGUACCACUGAUAAACAACACUUAAUACAGCAAGAGUAUUACCAUUGCAAUAACAGAAUGAUCAAAUGUAACAAUACCAACUAAUAUUCAAAUGAUACUAAUGAUACUAAUGUUCAAAGUAUAAUGAUACAUCAAGUAUAUUUAAUGGAGAGAAAUACCUCAAUAUGCCAUAACCCAGUAGGUAUCCGGAUUUUCCUUUUGCUAUUGUAACAGCCUAUUUUAUAUCCAUAAUUAAUCUUUCAUGAUUAUUUUUAAAAGGUAAAAAUGUGUAGAGUUCUUUGAACGUAUAAUUUAGUGUUUAUUUUUCAAAACUAACCCAUGCUAUAUUUUGAAAAGCAACAAUUUCUUCCCUUGAGUUAUGUAUUUAUUUUAUCAAGAGUCUGUUAGGCAAAUUUCAACAAAUAAUAAAACCCUAACAGCAGCACUAUAAUUUCUGUAGGAAGUUUAGACAGCAAUUUCCAAUGAGCAAUCAAGCUUGUCAUAAUAAGCAUCUCAAGGAAUCUCGCCUAAUGACAAAGUCCAAAGGCCAGUAGCUGGGUGUGGGCUGUUGUAUUUUAUACAUACUCAGAUACAGAAAGUGUCAGUCACUUUACAAGGAAUGCACAAAUAAAUGUAGCUGAAUCAGAAGUAAACAUCUUAUUGAGCCCUCACAUCCAACCAUUAGCAGUAAUACUUUCUCUGGGAAGUUUUCAAGGCAGUUUUUGAACAACUUUGUAAAAAGUGACCAUUUUAAGAAACAAUUCUCUUUAUGUUAUGCCAUUCUUUCCCUUUACUUUUCAUGGCUAAUUUUAAUCCAAAUAUAAACCUGAAAAUUGCUUAGGUAGUUUUCAGCUUAGUAAUGCAGCCAGUUAAUAUAGUAUUUAUUUCCGUGGGAGUCCAGCAUGCAUGUUAAGAUGUGACAGACAGAUUAGUCAAAAGAAUAUGUAUUUGCCAUUUGCAGUCUCCCAGGAACUGUUUCUUGGGACUGAAUGGAAGGAUCUAAGAGCCCAUAAGAAUUCACUGAUUUUCAUGGCAUGACUGAUUCAUAUUCUGCUACCUGAAGGAACACAGUGAGAUAAUGUUUAUUUUCAGAAAACUUUCUAAAUUUCUCUUGCUGUUUGGUAGCCC